UUUAGGAAAUAUAUAAUUUGACCUAUAAAAUGGGUUAUCGAAUAGCUCGAAAGUUAAAAAUAUAAUCAAAAGUAUAUUCUCAGAAAACCCAUUUUAUGAGCUAAUAUUCUAAUCACAACAUUUAUUUUUUGUAGCGGUCAGAAAAUUAUUCUUUGCUUCGUUACAUAGAUUUGUGGUUUAUAAUAAUAAACAUAAUAAUUUGGAUACUUUAACAGUACUCUAGUCACGUUUCAAAUAUCAAGAAUGAUGCAUAGCUGACUUCCGCAAACGGCAGAUCGUCACAGUCACCGUAAUAGUUUGACCCCAAACAAAAGCCGCAAUCAAAAUAUGUGUGACACAUGUGUGUGUUCUACAUAGAAGUCGCAGCCAUGUGGAAAUAAAACACAACAAAUGUAUUGACCUUAACACUGAAUGCUCAUUGCUCGCCAUCCACACAAGUAAACAACCCAUACACUAGCAUGUGUGAGUGUGUGCAAAAGAACUUGAACGAAAAGCGAGAGAGAACAUAAAGCAAGCAAAAAGCAAGAGAGCCCGAGAGAGCGAAACGUAAGAGCAAAGCGCUGCUAGGCUAGCGCGUGUUUUAGUCAAGUUCACCAAUACCAAGGCAAGGUUAACAGAUUGCAAUUGCUGUGUGUCACUGUUACUUAACAGCGCGUCUACAGCGGCGCUACAGUUGAGUGAGCAGCGCACUGUAAAAAAUAAAAGUGGGAUUGGGGUGAUGGGGUUAUUGGGGUGAACAGGCGCAGUGAUGGCUGUGUGGGUAAUUGGAGUUGCAGCCCCGUUUUCGGCCAGACAGUCGGGGUUUGGGGCUUAAUGAGGGUUGCAAUGUCUGGAGUUUAAAGUUGUGCAAAUGUAUGGUUGGGGGGUGGAAUGAGUCAGACAUUUUGGACAGACAACCUAAUGAGAUGAGCUCUACAUUUAGACAUAUAUACAGCUACUACUACUAUAAACAGACUUAAGAAUGAAUUAUUUGCAUUUAUUGGGAGGAGUUCAAAGGCGGGUUAUGGGCGUGACAGAUUAAUUUAGUUAAGGGUGAAGUGAUGCUGAGAGUGAAAGGUCAAAUUGACGAGUGCAGACAAUAAAAAAAAACUAAAAGAAGUAAACAAAGACCUAGACAACGUUUUUUUACAUAAAUCAAAAUCAACUAGAAAAGUUCUAGAGAACCAUAUAUGUAUAAGAUAAAGAGUUCCUUUGUGAAUAGUCCCAGUUUUAUGUAUUAUAUUUAUUUUCAUUUGUUAGACAGUCUUUGUAGCACAUCACAAUGAUCAUUAACACUUUAAAAUGUCCAAUUAGUUAAAUAUUUUAAUUUUUAACAGUCACAAUUAAAUAAUUUGUUCACUUGGAGAAUUCUUCUCGCGUUCGACCGAAAGUUCUCAACAUUCACAAAAUGAAAGUUAA